UUUGUUCCUUCGGGGACAAGCUAGCGGCGGACGGGUGAGUAACACGUAGGUAACCUGCCUGUAAGAUCGGGAUAACUAUCGGAAACGAUAGCUAAGACCGGAUAAUUGGUUUCUCCGCAUGGAGAGAUUAUGAAACACGGAGCAAUCUGUGGCUUACAGAUGGGCCUGCGGCGCAUUAGCUAGUUGGUGAGGUAACGGCUCACCAAGGCGACGAUGCGUAGCCGACCUGAGAGGGUGAACGGCCACACUGGGACUGAGACACGGCCCAGACUCCUACGGGAGGCAGCAGUAGGGAAUCUUCCGCAAUGGACGCAAGUCUGACGGAGCAACGCCGCGUGAGUGAUGAAGGUUUUCGGAUCGUAAAGCUCUGUUGCCCUAGACGAAAAGCAUGAGGAGUAACUGCCUUGUGUGUGACGGUAUAGGAGAAGAAAGCCCCGGCUAACUACGUGCCAGCAGCCGCGGUAAUACGUAGGGGGCAAGCGUUGUCCGGAAUUAUUGGGCGUAAAGCGCGCGCAGGCGGUUAAUUAAGUCUGGUGUUUAAGCCCGGGGCUCAACCCCGGUUCGCAUCAGAAACUGGUUGACUUGAGUGUAGGAGAGGAAAGUGGAAUUCCACGUGUAGCGGUGAAAUGCGUAGAGAUGUGGAGGAACACCAGUGGCGAAGGCGACUUUCUGGCCUAUAACUGACGCUGAGGCGCGAAA
rnacentral:rRNA from 2 species